rnacentral:rRNA from 1 species
GUGAAGCUCACUCCCAAACCCCUGUGAACAUACCACUUGUUGCCUCGGCGGAUCAGCCCGCUCCCGGUAAAACGGGACGGCCCGCCAGAGGACCCCUAAACUCUGUUUCUAUAUGUAACUUCUGAGUAAAACCAUAAAUAAAUCAAAACUUUCAACAACGGAUCUCUUGGUUCUGGCAUCGAUGAAGAACGCAGCAAAAUGCGAUAAGUAAUGUGAAUUGCAGAAUUCAGUGAAUCAUCGAAUCUUUGAACGCACAUUGCGCCCGCCAGUAUUCUGGCGGGCAUGCCUGUUCGAGCGUCAUUUCAACCCUCAAGCACAGCUUGGUGUUGGGACUCGCGUUAAUUCGCGUUCCUCAAAUUGAUUGGCGGUCACGUCGAGCUUCCAUAGCGUAGUAGUAAAACCCUCGUUACUGGUAAUCGUCGCGGCCACGCCGUUAAACCCCAACUUCUGAAUGUUGACCUCGGAUCAGGUAGGAAUACCCA